rnacentral:rRNA from 1 species
GACGGAGGGUGCAAGCGUUGUUCGGAAUUACUGGGCGUAAAGGGCGCGUAGGCGGUCUGUUAAGUUCGGUGUGAAAGCCCCCGGCUCACCUGGGGAACUGCGCCGGAAACCGACAGACUCGAGUACCGGAGAGGAGGGUGGAAUUCCUGGUGUAGCGGUGAAAUGCGUAGAGAUCAUGAGGAAGACCAGUGGCGAAGGCGGGUCUCUGGACAGUUCCUGACACUGAGGCACGAAGGCCAGGGGAGCAAACGGG